UUCUUUGAAAAUGACUGCACAGCAAUUAAGUGUGUGUAUUGGGGGGAGGGAGGAUUAUCUGGAUUUACCGAAGAAGAAAGUCUCUGCUUUAUGGCUGGAGGUAGGGGGAGGGAAUGAGGUCAGCAACUGCUGCAAUGAGAUGGACAGCACACAGUUUGCAGCACUGACUCACUUCCUCAGAAAUGUGAGCUCCAGAAGGUAUAAAGGUACAAACAGUGAGCAGGAGGAGCCUCUUUGUUAUGCGCAGCAAGCAAAACCAGCAGUAGCUGGUAGGAGCAGAUGCAAGCUCGUGAGGAAACAUUAAUCCAGGCAUAAGAAGGUGAGCUCGAGCACGGGAACAUUUAACAUGCCGGGACACAGGCACAGGAAACAAGCAAAGGCAGAGUUCGAACAGCACAGAGUGAUUGAUAUAAUUGCCUACACACAUUGACCCUCCAGAUAUUUUGACAUUGGAGCCAGUUCUCUCUGAUGCUGCAAUACCUCUUUACCAAUGUAGGGGUAAACUGAGGCAGUCCAUGGUAUUUUGCUGAGAACUGAGAACUCAAAUCCGAAAUCAUUAGACAAGCCUGGGAAUACAGCACAGCAGUUAACUUGACUCUGGUUGUCCUGGCAACCACAUUCCAAAAGGGCCUCACUUUGAUAAGGCCAGUACCAAACAACCGCGCUGGAUUGUUUUUCACUGUCUGCCUUAUUUCUAGAAAAUAAGCUCGGAUCCCAAAGAUCGCGCCAAGGCAAUACCACCCCCGAAGUAGACGCAUUAUAUUUCUGGCCAAAAAAAUGACCAUCAACAUGCUUUUGUUUAUGUUGGCUUAUUUAGCUUGUUAGGAAUAAUUAUUUGUAUUAGUGAUAAUAUGUUUAAUUGGCAAUGGGUGGGGAUCCUGUGUAACCUUCAUAUUUUAUUGGCUUAUGUGCUCAUAAUGUUUCCACCGCUAGACCUAUCAAAUCACUUCCCUUCCGCCCAUCUGUUGCCUAUAUAAUCUAAUGUAUGUUUUGGUUAAGUCAGUACUCAGCAGGUUAAUCCCAGGGGGGUACUCCACCAGCUGUGUGAACCAAUAAAUCCUCUGCUUAUUUUCACCUGCACCCAGUGUGUCUGGAAUUAUUCCCUACAACCAAAAUGUUUUAUAUGAAAGGUUAAUAUGAGCUGACAUAACAUCAUACAGUAGAAAAAUAAAUGAGGCCAUACUUGCUAGUGGAGUAGACCAUUCCCUUUUGCUUGAAUAGCAAAUUGUUAGUGGGCUGGAUUUUCAUUAAAAAAAUAGGUAAAUUUAAUGAUCUAGAUAAAUGUUAUAUCUGCAACUAAUUUAUUACUUGGAAAAUGUCUACUGUGUGAAUUAUUAGUACAGGCAAUCUUUAAAUCACAUUUUUCUCACUUCUUUUCUAUGGUAAUAUGCAAAUUACUGGAGAAAUUCUUAUUUUUAAAUGUUUUAAAGAGAAAAUGGUGUCUCUCUUUAGUGUUUUCUAAAGCACUCUUUUAUCACAGUGCCUAAGCCCUGAUCUACUAAAUUAGUACUGCAUGACAAUGUAUAAAGUAAAAUUCAUAGCAGAUUCCAACAAGCAGUAAUUUUCCAAAGAAUUGAGAUAGCAACACUAUCUCCAAUACAUUUCCAGGUGGAAUGGAUUUGGAUGGGAGAAAUCAAUAGACUCAUCCUGGUUUCAACACCAGUGAAUUAGUAACAUGACAAAAAACAAACAAACAAACAAACAAAAACACUGCUUCCCCUACCCAUACUAGCUCUAUUAUGAAAUUUUACACAGUUUGAAUCAUAGAAACCAUGGAGUGAAGAUUUACUAUGAAGAUUAAUGAUUUGGAAAUGGCAGUAAAUGGCCACUAAGAAGCCCUGUUCCCAGAGAUAUUAAUCAUUAUGAUUAUUAGACCAGUGGUAAGAUUGACAGGAGUGAAGGAGUUUCUUAAAUGUGGGACUAUGAUCUGACAGUUCUAACUUCUAUGAAGAAAACUAGUCCUCAAUUAGUCCAUUUUGUAUAGUUAAAGAAUGCUACACACCAUGAGCUUCUGAUACAUUUCAAAGUUCUGUUUGUAUUAGCACCUGCAUCAGCCACAAGGUCUACUGCUCCUGAGUCAGAGCAUGGUUAGUCGAGCAUGACCAAGAGCUGCAGUAUAGCAGAGAAGCCGGUUCUGGUCAAAAGGCACUCCACUGCAGAUAUGUUUGAGACAACGUGGGAAUUGAUCGAACUGACUGCUAAUUCACCCUCGUCUCCUGCAGAGUGCUGAGACCAGCCUCGGGCUCAUGCUUAGUCAUUGGCACUGGACACGGGUAGGCCCGCCCUGCCCUCAGUACCGGUGCCCCAUGUGGUGCUGCUCUCCCCGGUGCUCAUGUCUAUACCGACACAGAUGGGCCCUCCGGUACCAGUAGCCUCGCUCUCUCAGGAGUCCAGGGAGAACUUGGUGUCUAGCACACUUAUCCUGGUGGCCCAAUCCAUGGCACCAGAUCACCUGAUGCUCCCACCGUCAUUGCAGCACCAGGGCAAGCCAGCAUCAGUUCAGCACAUGGAAAGGCACCAAUCCCCGGGUCCAGCCUCAGCCCCUCUUGCUCAGAGUCCGAUGACUCAACGGAUUCCAUUGUAGAGUUGGUUCAGUCCAGAGCAUUGCUAUCUCAAUCCCCUCCCAGCAUUGCUUGGACUCCUGAUGCCGAUCCCGGUCCCGGUGCUGUUCUAGAUCUUGACCAGGUCUCGGUGCCACUCUCACUCCCAGCACCACAAGCACCAUGUCAGUGUUUUGGGCCAAUCGCAGAUCUGGCCUCCACAGUGGCAGCACCCAGACUAGUGGCCAUUUUGGAUCCUGUGGGUGUAUGACCAGGCCCAAGGGAGUACUCUCUGCACGGUGGGAUCCUCAUGUUUGGGAAUCUGGGCCCUAUCCUUGUCCACCCCAUUGCGUAGUGCCCCAGCACCGCAAACCUCAGCAGUAUGGGGUGAAUCCCCUCAGCCCCCAUUGGAGGGUGAUGAAGGGCCAUCGGGGAAGUCUGCCCACUCUCAGUCAUCGGAGCAGCUGCACGAACUGGAGGACUCAACAGUAUAUAAGUACUCAUCGUCCUUCCCAACAAGGCCCUAGGAUUGGCCUCUUCAUCAAUGCCAGCCAUGGACUCCUGUGCCCAUCAAGAUCUCCUGGAGACUGGCCCAAAGUCUCAGGGUCCAGCUCCAGGGGCCUCUGAGAACUCCAACCCAGUGGUCGACAUCCUGAACACAGAGGUGCCAUCUCCUGUGGCAUUGCCCUUGAAUAAGACAGUGGGGAAAAUCACCAAGGCCCUCUGACAGACAUCAGUGUUUAUUCUGCCUAUGGACAAGAGGGCAGAAUGGUGGUACUUUGACCCAUAGGUGGGCCAGAAGCACAUGUUCUCACAUCCGUCUCUGGGCUCGAUAGUGGUACAUGCUGCUCCUUCCCUGGGGCCCUGUCCCACCCUUUCUAGCAGAGAAAUAGGUCGGAUUUCUCUAGACGCAGGGGCCAUAAUAAUAAUAACAGAAGCAGCAGGCAUCCUUCUUGCUCAUCUUCUGACCCGGGGGCGUGUCAUUCCAGCUAGUCCCAGGUCUCAGGCUGAAUCUUUGAAGGUGCGAGCAAUGACAGCACACCAGUCUCAGACCAGAGGCCUUUUACCAAUCCUCUUUUUCCCUUCCAUUGUGCCUGGUGGCACAUCAUGAUGGACCACUGGGUCCUGGCCACGGUGAGCAUCUUCUCAGGCUGGAAGUAAAGAAGCUUCUUGACCUGGGGGUGGUAGAGGAGGUCCCCUGGGACAUCAGGGGAAAGGGUUUCUACUGCUACUCCCAAAGGCAAAAGGUGGCUUCUGCCCCAUUGUGGACCUGAGGAAUCUAGUAAAUCAUAGUAAAGACAAAGUUCAAAAUGGUAACC